UACGUAGGUGGCGAGCGUUGUCCGGAAUUACUGGGUGUAAAGGGAGCGUAGGCGGGAGUGCGAGUUGAAUGUUAAAUCUAUCGGCUCAACCGAUAGCCGCGUUCAAAACUGCAUUUCUUGAGUGAAGUAGAGGUUGGCGGAAUUCCUAGUGUAGCGGUGAAAUGCGUAGAUAUUAGGAGGAACACCAGUUGCGAAGGCGGCUCUCUGGACUGUAACUGACACUGAGGCACGAAAGCGUGGGGAGCAAACAGGAUUAGAUACCCAU
rnacentral:rRNA from 1 species